rnacentral:rRNA from 1 species
AUACGGAGGGGGUUAGCGUUGUUCGGAAUUACUGGGCGUAAAGCGCACGUAGGCGGAUUGGAAAGUUGGGGGUGAAAUCCCAGGGCUCAACCUUGGAACUGCCUCCAAAACUAACAGUCUAGAGUUCGAGAGAGGUGAGUGGAAUUCCAAGUGUAGAGGUGAAAUUCGUAGAUAUUUGGAGGAACACCAGUGGCGAAGGCGGCUCACUGGCUCGAUACUGACGCUGAGGUGCGAAAGCGUGGGGAGCAAACAGGAUUAGAAACCCUAGUAGUCC